rnacentral:lncRNA from 1 species
AUGGGCCUGAUCAGGUUUUCCUCUCUCCUCCAGAUCAGUAGGAGGACUGUUCAGCAAACAGCUUUGGAAAGAGGAUAUUUCCUCAAGGAGCAGGCAGCAAGGAAGAAGGCAGAAAAAAGAGACAUUAAGAGCAACGUAACGGAAAGAGCAAGACUCUGGGAAUUGAAAAGGUGUGAGGCACGGCUUGGGGCUGAUACUUCUCUCCCUUUCCUCUGACUGCAGUCCUUAAAAGCUCCCCAAGAGAAACAGCAUCAGAUAGAAGUCUAAUCCAAGGCAUAUCAGUGACAAAUAUGGGCACAAAGAGAUGGAACCCUCAGUGGGGACACUAAGUCUGCUCCCUUGAAACUGAACAGAAAUUUUAACUUCUCCAGGAGCUCAUCAUUAAAUGGCUUUGAUAACCUUUAAGAUUUUGCAAUUCAUAGUGAAACUCCUCAGUGCCUGUUAACUGGUUUUGUAUCACAUAAAAAGGUUUUCUGGUUUAUUUUGGUUGCAAGCCAUAUGGGCAUCACCACUUUCCAGCACACUGUGUAGGCAGAAAAUGUUACACUGUUUAACAGAGUGGUAACAGCAUUUUCUCCACAGAAAGGAAUUCUUCAUAAUGAUCUUCAUGAGGAUUACUCAGUGCUUCUCCCCAUGGCAGGAGGCUGAGGUAAGGCAUGGACAGACCAGAAGCAACAGUGCAAAGAAACCUCUCAGUACCAGGCCACAGAUAAACACACACCAGAUAUGAUGCUGACGUGAAUGGCCAUUCUGGGAGCAGAUCAAUACUGCACAGCCCAAUUAAUAAAACAUAAAAUGACUUUUUAAAGUUGCUAUUG